rnacentral:rRNA from 1 species
GAUGAACGCUGGCGGCGUGCCUAAUACAUGCAAGUCGAGCGAACAGACGAGGAGCUUGCUCCUCUGACGUUAGCGGCGGACGGGUGAGUAACACGUGGAUAACCUACCUAUAAGACUGGGAUAACUUCGGGAAACCGGAUCUAAUACCGUAUAAGAUACUGAACCGCAUGGUUCAAUAGUGAAAGACGGUUUUGCUGGCACUUAUAGAGGGAUCCGCGCCGCAUUAGCUAGUUGGUAAGGUAACGGCUUACCAAGGCAACGAUGCGUAGCCGACCUGAGAGGGUGAUAGGCCACACUGGAACUGAGACACGGUCCAGGCUCCUACGGGAGGCCGCAGUAGGGAAUCUUCCGCAAUGGGCGAGAGCUUGGCGGAGCAACGCCGCGUGAGUUAUGAAGGUCUUCGGAUCGUAAAGCUCUGUUAUUAGUGAAGAACAAAUGUGUAAGUAACUAUGCACGUCUUGACGGUACCUAAUCAGAAAGCCACGGCUAACUACGUG